GUAGGUGGCAAGCGUUGUCCGGAAUUAUUGGGCGUAAAGCGCGCGCAGGUGGUUCUUUAAGUCUGAUGUGAAAGCCCCCGGCUCAACCGGGGAGGGUCCUUGGAAACUGGGGAACUUGAGUGCAGGAGAGGAAAGUGGAAUUCCACGUGUAGCGGUGAAAUGCGUAGAUAUGUGGAGGAACACCAGUGGCGAAGGCGACUUUCUGGCCUGUAACUGACACUGAGGCGCGAAAGCGUGGGGAGCAAACAGGAUUAGAUACCCUGGUAGUCCACGCCGUAAACGAUGAGUGCUAAGUGUUGGGGGGGUCUUCCCGCCCCCGUCAGUGCUGCAGCUAACGCAUUAAGCACUCCGCCUGGGGUAGUACGGUCGCAAGACUG
rnacentral:rRNA from 1 species